UAUCUGCAUCAGAGCCAUGUGCUGCACCUGGAUGUCAAGCCGGAGAACCUGCUGGUGUGGGAUGGUGCCGGGGGUGAGGAGCAGGUGCGCAUCUGUGACUUCGGGAACGCCCAGGAACUCACUCCGGGAGAACCCCAGUACUGCCAGUUUGGCACGCCAGAGUUUGUUGCGCCUGAGAUUGUCAACCAGAGCCCUGUGUCUGGAGUCACUGACAUCUGGCCCGUGGGCGUCGUUGCCUUCCUCUGGUAAGGACUACACUGCGGUCUCCUGAUUGGCCCACCCCUAACACAUUCAGGGUCCACAUCCCUCUCCCUUCUCUUCUACACUUAAGGGGUUUCACAUGCAUCAGUGUGGUUACCCCGGUUGGCA
rnacentral:lncRNA from 1 species